AGUGCAGGCGGUUUUUUAAGUCUGAUGUGAAAGCCUUCGGCUUAACCGAAGAAAUGCAUUGGAAACUGGGAAACUUGAGUGCAGAAGAGGAGAGUGGAACUCCAUGUGUAGCGGUGAAAUGCGUAGAUAUAUGGAAGAACACCAUGGCGAAGGCGGCUCUCUGGUCUGUAACUGACGCUGAGGCUGAAAGCUGGGUAGCAAACA
rnacentral:rRNA from 1 species